UCUUGAAUCGCAGACUCAAUCGAGGGUACCAAAUUGCUUGAAGGAUCACAUUGAACCAUAUUACUUGAAUUCACAUAAUCAAGUUUUGAAUUGUUCCCAAGCUCCAAAUCUUGGGACAAUUCUUAGAUCAUUCUCAAAAUUCUGAUGUCCUUCCAUGCAUUUAUCUCCACCACCAAAAAAAACUACCUUUUCAUCAAGAGAGACAGUCUCCUCCCUAACCUCGUUAUCCUCAGUCCUUCUCAAUUCCCGCCAUUACUCCAAAAAAUCUCAGUUCCAUGAGUUUCAGUUUCUACAUCUUGGAUUGAUAAUCCCAAUUCACCAAUA
rnacentral:misc_RNA from 1 species